GGGCGAUUAGCUCAGUUGGUUAGAGCNCCUGCUUUACACGCAGGNAGUCGGGGGUUCGAGUCCCUCAUCGCCCACCA
rnacentral:tRNA from 1 species